UACAGAGACUGCAAGCGUUAUUCGGAUUCACUGGGCGUAAAGGGUGCGCAGGCGGCCGAGUGUGUGAGGCGUGAAAGCCCGGGGCUUAACCCCGGAAUUGCACCUCAAACUACACGGCUAGAGCAUUGGAGAGGGUAGCAGAAUUCAUGGUGUAGCAGUGAAAUGCGUAGAUAUCAUGAGGAAUACCAGAGGCGAAGGCGGCUACCUGGACAAUUCCUGACACUGAGACACGAAGGCCAGGGGAGCAAACGGG
rnacentral:rRNA from 1 species